rnacentral:tRNA from 1 species
CUAGAGAAAGAGGACUUUCACCCUCCUUAAUGGU